UACAGAGGGUGCGAGCGUUAAUCGGAAUUACUGGGCGUAAAGCGCACGUAGGUGGCGACGUAAGUCGGGUGUGAAAGCCCCGGGCUCAACCUGGGAAUGGCAAUGGAAACUGGCGGGCUGGAGUACGGCAGAGGGGGGUGGAAUUCCGCGUGUAGCAGUGAAAUGCGUAGAGAUGCGGAGGAACACCGAUGGCGAAGGCAGGUCUCUGGGCUGUAACUGACGCUGAGGAGCGAAAGCAUGGGGAGCGAACAGG
rnacentral:rRNA from 1 species